ACAAUAAAAGUUUUGUGGCAGUGAUGAUCUUUGUGAAUUUUAUUAUAGUGGAUUGGAAUUACUUGACUUUAAAAUGUAUGGGUUAAAAUCUAGACGUUGCUCCAUAAUCUGAUGUUACAUUUCAGACAAUGAUGAAACCCAGGCAUCCACAAGCUUAUGCCUCAUCAUGGGAAUUGAUUCAUCACACUGUAAUCAGUCUUUUGGUUCUUAUCUGAAUACAGAUUAAGAUGCUGGAAAAGAUUUACAUCUUUGUGCUGUAGACGGAAUGCACAAGAAAAAUAGAUUUGACUAGUGAUAGGGUUUAGCCUCAGUACCAAUUACUCAGAAAGGUGACCUGUAAAAGAUUAUUUCUAAACUGGAUUGAUCCCAUUUCCCUUUCUUUUUUAAUAACGGAAAAGAAGACUAGAAAUAGUGCAAACCUUUCCUUUCCCUUCCCAUUAUUUACAACAGCAAUGUCAAGUUAUGGCCUCUCCAUAGCUGCCAACUUACAGAUUUGAAAAUAAGGGAUCAGCAGCCUCGAAAAUAAGGGAUAGGCAGCCAAAAUAAGGGAUUUUGGCUUAGCUUAUACAGAAAUCCGCCACUGAUGGAACCAUGCUGCUUUUGCUGCCACUGACUGUGUUUUGCAGGGGGUUGGACUAGAUGAUCCUAAGGGUCUACAACUCCGACCAAAGAAGAGUGGCAGACAAAACUGAUGAACGACGUUGAGAUGGCAAAGCUUACAGGCAGAAUUAGAAACUAGGAAGAGGACCUCUUUAAUAAAGAAUGGGGAAAGUUUAUAAUUUAGUUGAAAAGCUAUUGUAAAGAGUUACAUACAUUGGUAGGAUUGACAGAAAACUUGUAGUAAAAAUUUGAACUAUGGAUGGACAAAUGAUUUAUAAAAAUAGAGUUAUGAAAGGGAUGCAGAGGGGGAAAUCACUACAUUAAGAUGCUGCACUAGUUGGAGGGUAUGCAAGGCAGCACGCCGGGCCUGCCGUCGUCCUGGCAUGAGGAGUUCCAUCGGCCCUUCCCCGCCCGAGAGAGACUCUCGCCCAUGCCACCCGCGAGCCCGGCAUGAGGCGGUUGCGGUGCCAUGGCGGCCGCUGAAGUGCCGACCUUCUGCGUCCCUCCCCAUCCCCUCCUCUUCCUCCUCCCUCAGGCCGCCGCCUCAGCCGCCACCGCUGCCUCCGGCUUCCCCUGGCAGCGUGGCGGAAGUCUCGCAAGAGAGGGGCUGCCUGUCCGCCCGCUGCCGCCCGUCUUCUCAUGACGCGCCCCUGAGGGGGAAAAGGGAGAGAUGGAGACACGGCAGCUCGUGCGCGCGCUCUCUCGCGCGGCGGAGGACCCCGAGCCACUGCUUCCCUCCCGAGCCGGGCGAGCAUGAAACUCAGGAAAUUUAAGGGACAUCACCAAAUUUAAGGGACACGGCGCUGGGAUAAGGGAGUUUCCCGCCAAAUAAGGGACGGUUGACAGCUAUGGGCCUCUCUUAAUUUUGUUAUAGACCCCUAAAUAGCUAAAAUGUUUUCCACAAGUAUCCAAAGACCUCAGUAUCCAUAUACCCUGAAUGCAACCAUCACUGUUUUAUUGUUUGAAUGCACUAUAAACCACUCUGGCAUCUUAUUUUUUAAUAAAUGUUUAUGACCUGAUCAAAGAUAAGAUUCACAAACAUGGCCUUUUGCCUGUUAUCGUGGUUUAUGAAAAGGUUAAGCGAGGACAGUGUUUAGGUAACUAGAAAAGAAUGUGAUGCAAGAGCCAUACUGUGAGGUAAGAUGUCAUGGCAACAGAAAAAGAAACAAGAGAAUAAUAUGACCCACAAAUCAUUUAAAUCAGCCUGUGCUGUAAUACUGAUGUUAGCAUCUGAGGCAAUACUUUCCCUUCCAGAGUCUAGACCAUGAUAGACUAUUAAAAUAAUGAUCAGCAUAAAAUAUAGCUUGGCAAUCUUACGCUUGUGAACUCACUUCCUUCACCCACGUUCUAACAUUUUCUUCCUUACUUCUUAAUCUGUGAUAACUGCAGUAUCUGAUAAACUAUAGUCUGAUGUGGCAUCUCUAUUAGGCAAACCACAGUUGCCAUAAAACAGCCUUCCCUAACCCAGUGCCUUCCAGAUUGUUUUUGACUACAACUCCCAUUAGCUCCAGCUAGCCCAGUUGUGCUGACUGGGGCUGAUGGGAGUUGUAGUCCAAGCCAUCUAGAAAGCAGCCAUUUGGGGAAAGUUGCCACAAACCAUAGUUUGCCUCCAAACUGGAAUUGGAAACCUAGUUCACACAAUGUUUUUUAAUAUUGGUUUUCUGAAGAACUGAAUUUUGCCUAACUUUGAUGUCAUGGGAUACUACUGUUAUCACAAAGAAUGGAUCAGGGAACUGGAGCAUACAACAACAUGAGGCAAGUCCCAGAUACAGUCCUUUAGUCAAACUAAACCAUGAUCUCUUUCAUUUCAGCAUGGGUCACAAUCAGGUAUUAUGAGGUAGUUCACAUGGUCUUUGUUCCAGUCAACCAAUCACUGGGCACAGAAGUGCCUGCUCAUUUGAAUAACCAGCCUUAUAUAAGAGUUUACCUCCAAUGAAGGUUCAGGCAUUUGCAGGCAGGCAGUUAGACAGGCAGACAAGCAGUCUUGCAGUCUCGGUGUAUGAAACAAAAUGGCUUCACGGAGACUAAUGCGUAGGAGACCACGGCCACGACCACGACCACGGUACAGGGGGAAGGCCAGGAGAAGGCACACAGUCCGAAAGAGAACUAUAAGGUCUGUGAAAAGAUACAGAAGGCAGAAACCAAGAAUUAGAACUGCCUCCAAGUUGCCAAGGAGGAUCCGGUCUAACAAGUUCCGAAUGACCAGAGAUGCUUGGGGCAUGUUGCACUCCUAUGUAGAUGGCAUCUACAGGAAAGUGUCCGGGGAAGCUGAACGCCUAAGGAGAAAGGAGCGACGCCCCUCCAUAAUUUCCUCAGAUGUGCAAACUGCCUUGAGGCAAGUCAUGCCAAGAAAAUACACCAGGCGAAUUGCCUUCAGCAAGACUCGUUAGAAAAAGUAUCCUUUCCCUUCUCUAUGGCUGGCUUAUUAAGGCUAAGAACAGAAAAGAGAAAGGGAAAGUAUGGACACCAGCCUGAGAGAAAUUACAAUCUUCUGCCUGCCUAAAAAAGAUCGAACACGGCCUUCAAACUGCCAAGGAAUCCUGUAACCUACCACAUUUUUUCUAAACCAGCCUCACUACCAACUAUUGUUUGAAGAUGAAGAAGAAUCUGGGAGAGACCAGGCCCAUCACUACAACAACAAUGCCAUCCUAAUAAAAUCAACCUUCUGUUUAGGUAUUUUCUGUUAUGCGUGGAAGCAACUAUCAGACUAUGAAAUACCAAAGGCUUUCCAUCUUUGUGAAUCUGAGUCAGCAGAGAGAGAUCAACCAUACUUAGAAAUGAAAAGACUAUGUGAGGUGUUUCCUGAAGGGGCAUUUCCCUUGCAAUAAAACAGGAUUAGCAGGAUUGUUCAUUGCACGUCUCUUUUUUAUAACGGGGUCUGAAACUCUGCGUGUGUCAGGGUUGGGCAGUAAUUUAAGGAGAAAGAGUUUUAUUGAAUCGGGGAAUCAUGAUGGAAGAUAGGUCAUCACUGAGGGUGCCAGAGGAAUCACCUGAUAAGACCUGAUUCACACAUUCUUUUUUUCUGACGAUGUGAAAAUAGCAAGGUUGUAACAUGGUGGUUGUAUGAAACAGCUUUCAAAGUUACAUCUCAUGGACUAAGGGUUCUUAUGAAUUUGACAAAAAUUAAAGGGUUCUCCUAAGUGUCAACAGGCUGCAUAUGGUCUUCACGGUGCCAUAUACUGAAAGUUCAGUUUUCUUAUUGCAGUAUGCCGUUAAAAACGAGAAACUGCAACAACUGAAGAUAGUAAUUGGAAUCUUUAGUUUACAAAAAGGUGGGCAACCAGUAGGUCAGAUUCUCACUCCAUAGGCCAACUUUAACAAGUUGGCACAAUAGCCCACCUGACAUUAUUAUGACAUCAGAUGAUUGAGAGAUGCCUUGUCCCACCCACCUGUCAAAGCCCAUUGGCCAGAGCAAGUGUGGAGAACCUUUGGCCCAACAGUUGUUGCUGAACUACAAUUCCCACCAUCCCUGGUCAUUGGCCAUGCUUACUGGGGAUGAUGGGAGCUGUAGUUCAACAACAUCUGGAGGACCAAAUAUUCCCCUGGUACAGAGCUUCACAAGCACCUGACAGUGGCUGGUUCUCACAUGCUUAGGAAUAUAAUCAAGCAAUUUCCAUUGAAACCACUGCCCAAACAGAACUUGGUGCUUCUGGAACAAGGCAUACUUACCCUGCUCAUUAAUUCACUUUAAGUUAUGAUUAUUCCUUUUUGCCCCACCCUGAUGUCACAUAUGAUGUCAUGUGAGCAUGGUGUUUUUUUUUUAAAAAAACUGCCUCACAGACCAGAAGGGAAGGAGCUGGUGAGUCAAAUGUGGCUCACGAGCCAAAGUUUCCCCAUCCUUGGUUCAGAGCAUAUUAUAAACUCACAAACACAUGCCACCAUACCGGUACGAGAACAACUCUCAUUGCUUGGGUUACACUUUCUUGUUAAAGAAAACAUAGUAUGAGAAAGUUCAGCAGACAUGGAAGUGAUAUUUUCCCCCUAAAAAAAAUUAUAGCCUAAAUAAAAGUUGAAUGGCUAUUUUUCAAAUUAAGUUAUUUACUUUCUUCCUGGCUGAUGCAGCCUCUAAGCCUUAGAAUCCCAAACAGGGUGUUAGAUUCUCAGGAACUCCUGCCCACAAAUGUGUUUAAAAAUUUACAUGAACAGCCAGUUUUGAUAAUACACUUUUAUUGUGUAUGCUCCAAAAUCAUUCCUAGAGGAGACACUAUUGGAAGAAGCCCAUAAUCAAUAAAUCCUGUAAUUCUGAGUAAAUGGUGCCCCAUAUUGAACCAUUGAAGUUGGUCCUGGCUCCUGGUAAUUAAUUUCAGCUAAAGGUUCCACCUUGCCGUAAAAUACUUAUCAUGAUACAGUGCUAAAAACAGAUAGUAUGUGUACAGAUGCAUUUGCUAAACCUGAAUAACAAUAACCACAACAUCUUAUAUCCCACCCAUCUGACUGGGUUACCCCAGCCCCUCAGACCAGCUUCCAAUAAAUUAUAAAGGGACAAAACAAAACAUC
rnacentral:lncRNA from 1 species